rfam:Alligator mississippiensis ScZkoYb_1901.2, whole genome shotgun sequence.
GGUCCCCAAUGAUGUCAGCACUGGGCGCUGAGCUCCUGUGACGAUGGCAGUGCCUCCUGGGGAUUUGACACCCUGGAGGACUGAGGGGACC